UUGAAGGACUAAGUGUGUUUGUCGUUACACGUGGAACCUGCGGAUAAGCAACAUGCGACAAAAAUACGAGGGCAUGAUAUAGUGGACAGUUCACCGGGAUAGAGCUGUGUACGCUAUACGCUCGCGUUAGUGAGAAACACAACAAACAACGAACAGUCGCUAUAAAAUAAUACUUCGAUAUAUGUGUUGUACAAAAGAAUAUACAAAGUUUUACGAUUCUAUAUUGGAGAGGAAAAAAACGGGACACUACUAAAAGCUCAGGAUACCCUCUCCCUACGAGACCUAAAAUGAAGAAUAUCUUUUAAUGUCCAUCUCAGUCGAGCUGACUCUCGAGUAGCGCUCGUGAACUGAUCACACAACCCCACAUAAAUCAUAUAAAGCAUCAUAACCAGUGUAUAUUAUAUUUAUAUUGUUGUCAUAGUAAAUUUUAAACUUAAUACUAAUUUGUAUAAAUAAUGAUGUAAUACAAGUAAGUCGUAUUUUUUUCUAUAAAUGACCUCGUCCUAAUGUGGUACACGUGGUGGCCGGUUUGCAUAACAUGCGCGCGUGUGGCCUUGAGAGAUGAGCCACCAGGCUAGACGAGCCGAGUCGCGAGCACCUCAUAACACGCUAGUUGUCCGUUUAUAUCAAACGCUACUCAUUACUCGUGGAGCACGUCUCGAAAGCUAUCUAGAACCUAGGUGGAUGACAAACAAACAAACAUCGGCUUUAAAAAUAGAAAAUAAAUUAACUCUGCUUCAACAGCGAGAUACGUCAUGAGACGCUAAAAUGUUGCCCCCGAAGCUGUCUUUGUAAUAAUAUCUAUACAAGAGCUCCACGUGUCGUCGGUCGUCCCAUGGUGUUACGACGUGCCCACGUGCGACCUUCAGACACACAGACAUCAUGGAACUAAAUAAGGAGCACUGAAACAUGCGAUCCACGCGGUACUUCAGUGAAGCAGCACUCGACGGAUGGCUUCGCUUCACUUCACGAUUGUCACUUGUGACCGUUACUGGGACGACUAUUUAUGUCUAUUGACUGUGAUCGAUGUUAUAAAUAAUGAACCUAUCAGAUGAAGCCAGGGAACCCUAUCAAAAGAAACUUUGAACAAAAACAAUAUACAGAGGCGAGAGCGAGCCGGUCACUAAAACACGGCUAGAUGUAUAAUAAUGUCACUUGUUUUUUUUUUCUAACUCCGUCGACACGUUCUCGUAAUGCAAAUGAAAACUUAACAAACAUCAACAAGCAGGAGUUGGCUGUUGGUUCAAUAUUUAACAGAUCGAGCCGCGGCCCGGGCCUGCUGUUCCCUGGUGUUUACUCUGCGAUCAUUUCGAAACUGUAAACACAUCUGACAGAUUUUGACAGUCGUUUGUGUAAACUAUAUAAAUGCUUUAUAUUCAAUAAAACUAUAUUUUUAAAA